CCCUUAGAUGUCCUGGGCCGCACGCGCGCUACACUGAGUGUCUGAGAUACGAGUCUGCCUGGUCCGGCAAGGUCUAGGUAAUCGCUAAAAGACACAUCAUGCUUGGGAUAGAUUAUUGCAAAUAUUAAUCUUCAACGAGGAAUUCCUAGUAAGCGCGAGUCAUCAGCUCGUGCUGAUUACGUCCCUGCCCUUUGUACACACCGCCCGUCGCUGCAACUGAUUGGGUGACCUGGUGAACAUCUUGGACCGACUCACUCAAUUUCGAGAGGACUGGAAAAGGCCGUAAAUCAGGUACAUCUAGAAAUUGCAAAAGUCGUAACA
rnacentral:rRNA from 1 species